UACGUAGGUGGCAAGCGUUGUCCGGAUUUACUGGGCGUAAAGAGCGCGCAGGCGGCUGGCCAAGUCAGACGUGAAAUCCCUCGGCUUAACCGGGGAACUGCGUCUGAUACUGGAUGGCUAGAGAUUGGGAGAGGGAUGCGGAAUUCCAGGUGUAGCGGUGAAAUGCGUAGAUAUCUGGAGGAACACCGGUGGCGAAGGCGGCAUCCUGGACCAACACUGACGCUGAGGAGCGAAAGCCAGGGGAGCAAACGGG
rnacentral:rRNA from 1 species